rnacentral:rRNA from 1 species
AUUGAACGCUGGCGGCAUGCCUUACACAUGCAAGUCGAACGGCAGCACGGGUGCUUGCACCUGGUGGCGAGUGGCGAACGGGUGAGUAAUACAUCGGAACAUGUCCUGUAGUGGGGGAUAGCCCGGCGAAAGCCGGAUUAAUACCUCAUACGAUCUACGGUUGAUAGCGGGGGACCUUCGUGCCUCGCGCUAUAGGGUUGGCCGAUGGCUGAUUAGCUAGUUGGUGGGGUAAAGGCCUACCAAGGCGACGAUCAGUAGCUGGUCUGAGAGGACGAGCAGCAACACUGGGACGGAGCCACGGCCCAGACUCCUACGGGAGGCAGCAGUGGGGAAUUUUGGACAAUGGGAGAAAGCCUGAUCCAGCAAUGCCGCGUGUGUGAAGAAGGCAUUCGGGUUGUAAAGCACUUUUGUCCGGAAAGAAAUCCUUGGCCCUAAUACGGUCGGGGGAUGACGGUACCGGAAGAAUAAGCACCGGCUAACUACGUG